UCAGCUGCCAGCAAGUCCUGGAAGAGUUCCUGCAGAUCUUUUGUGUCUCUCUCACCCAUGCCUGCUGGAUGUUUCCUCUUGGUGCUGUGUCUGGGAGGGAGGGGCUGAAGGAGAUGAAACGUGCCCUUUAAAGAUCCUUGGCACUUCUUCUGAGAAAACUUAAGUCCUGUCCCACGUCUGGGACUGAUUAGGAAGCCGGGGCUGCACCUGGGUCUUCAGUGUUGAAGGUCUCAGAGGCCAUUUGUCCUGGUGGCCGUUCCAAGGACACAGCCAUCAAUCUGCGGCAGACGCGGGUCUCCCUCCCUCCUCCUGGAAUCCCCGCUUGCUCCUUGCUUGCUUCAGAACAGAUUGCCUCCCAGGCUGUUCCCCUCCCCCGGCCUCUCCUCCUCCUUGUCUCCCGGAUCCCAGGCCAGCAUCUUCUAUGAUUUCCCGUCCUGCGGUCCCCCUGCCCCUUCUU
rnacentral:lncRNA from 1 species